AUUCCAUUCUGGAGCAUUGUUUUAUAUUCUUUUCCUGCUGAAAACGGUGGGAUAAGCCCAUUCUAAUCUCUCGGCUAAAACAAAAAAACACGCUCGAAGCAUCCGAUCGAGCUUCAGACUCUCGCUAUUCAGGCAAGGACGAUUCAAACUCUCGCAUCUUCGACUCCGCCGAUUUCAAUAAGCUCAAAAUCCGAUCGACGCAUUUCAGCGAUUCACUUUACCAUUUGCAACCAUUUUGAAACCUAAAUCAAUCUGAGCAUACUGGCCAUAAAGCAGAAGAAACUUUUCAUGAUAGAUUACCAUGAUUUGCUACUACCAUAUGUGAAGAAAGUGAGGCAGAUAAAAGGGACAUCUCUAUAUGGAUCAAGGGCCUUGUUUUUUCUAACUCCUAUUGGCACAUUGAAGCCAGUAGCCAUUGAGCUUGUCCGAUCUCCAAUGAAUGGGAAACCUCAGUGGAAGAAAGCAUAUUCUCCAGGGUUUGAUGCGACAAGUGUUUGGCUUGGAAGCUCGCUAAAGCUCAUUUAUUGGCACAUGACUCUGGUUUUCAUCAGCUUGUUAGUCACUGCCAGAUCUGCAUCUUUGACUGAAUGCGGCUUCAUCUUAAAUUUCUGAUAUUGUUCAGAGUGCUUUAUUCCCUGAUGCUGGCUUGGAAAGUGAUCUUGGUCAUGCUGGAGAAGUGGCAGGGCUAGUAAUAGUUCAAAAUCUUGACCUUUUCUUGGAGAAAUUUUGUAUUUUAUUUGUAAAUUAUGAAGGAGAAUUAGUAGUGGCGAAAGUUUGGUUUUUUGUAAAUUUUUAAUAUUUAUUAUAGUUGAUUUAGGUACUACUAAUUUGUGUAAUGAAAUGUGAAGUAUGCUAUUGACAUGAAAUUAAUCCAUUUGUCUAUUUGAUUUAUAAA